AAGUCGUAACAAGGUUUCCGUAGGUGAACCUGCGGAAGGAUCAUUAAUGAAUGAAUGUAGAGUCGGUUGUAGCUGACCUCCUAGAGGUAUGUGCACGCCUUCUCUUUCAUCCACACACCCCUGUGCACUCGUGAGACAGAGGCAUUUGUUUUCCUUUAAUCGGGGAACGGGUCUCUGUCUACAUCACAUAAAAUCUAAUUUAUUUAAAACUGAAUGUAAUUGAUGUAACGCAUCUAAUACAAACUUUCAACAACGGAUCUCUUGGUUCUG
rnacentral:misc_RNA from 1 species